CCAGUAAAGUCAGCCUUGACCUACCAAACGCACAGGAAGACAUCUGAGUCACCUUGCUGCACCCAAACUUCUCCUCUGGCAAGUUCUCAUUUCCUAAAAGGAAGUGGUUGAGGCAUUUCUCCUCCGUACAGCAGCACAGGUACUGCAUGGUAUCAUCCAGUCUCCUGUACUAGCUAGGCUGUGCUAGGACGUACAUGACAGGAGUCUCGAAGGCAUAUGUAGAAAUACCUGUGACCACCAGGAUACAGGUGCAGAGUUGCAGACAUCUGAUGGAGAAGCUGUCAUGUCAGGGAUGCCUGACCACGUGCCCAAAGAACUUCAUCUCUGCCACACUGCAGCUCUGUGGCCAGCUUGUGCUGGGGGUAAAGCUGGCCUCUGCCUUCUGGCUGCUGAGGAAGAUGUUUGAGUCACCUUGCUGCAGCCCAAACCACCUGAAUGAGGAUGGUUCUACUGAAGGCAUCCAUCAGCUGGAGCUCAUCCUCAGAGUGGUGCGAGAAGCACAGCACCUCUCCCACAAGCUGCUCUGCAGUUCCACAAGGAGGUCUUGUGGGCAUCUUCCCUGCAGUGUCCAGCUCCAGGUGGAAGGAGUGGCCAGCAGGAGGCUUCAAGGACACAAGCAGGUGGUGAGCAGCAUCAUCCUCGAGGGGUCUCCAGCCUUGAAAACCACUGCCCACCCUGACAGCUGGCUGCAGCAGCAGAAGGAAAGUAAUCAAGAGCAAUCAGAAGACACACAGGACUUCUCCCACCAGGUCCUCCAUGAUGCAUGUCCAAGUGUCGUGGUUCUGCUCGAGUGGGCAGGCGAGCUCCACCACAGCUGCUCUCUCACUCUGCCUCCUCAAAGAGGAACAGGGAGAAAAUACGAUGAAAAGGGCUCAAAAUUUGAGAUAAGGACAAGCAGAUCACGCAGUAAUUAUUAUAAUGGGCAAAACAGGCUCUGCAUAGGGAGAUAGUAAGAUUUAUUACUUAUUACUAAGCUAGAGAAGUGAGAAACAAAGGAAAGAAACC
rnacentral:lncRNA from 1 species